GGGUGCUAUAAUGCAGUCGACGAACUCUGGUAUUGAUUGGUGCUUGCAUCAUGAUUUACAUUUGAGUGAGUGGCGAACUGGUGAGUAACACGUGGGAAACCUGCCCAGAAGCGGGGGAUAACACCUGGAAACAGAUGCUAAUACCGCAUAACAACUUGGACCGCAUGGUCCGAGCUUGAAAGAUGGCUUCGGCUAUCACUUUUGGAUGGUCCCGCGGCGUAUUAGCUAGAUGGUGGGGUAACGGCUCACCAUGGCAAUGAUACGUAGCCGACCUGAGAGGGUAAUCGGCCACAUUGGGACUGAGACACGGCCCAAACUCCUACGGGAGGCAGCAGUAGGGAAUCUUCCACAAUGGACGAAAGUCUGAUGGAGCAACGCCGCGUGAGUGAAGAAGGGUUUCGGCUCGUAAAACUCUGUUGUUAAAGAAGAACAUAUCUGAGAGUAACUGUUCAGGUAUUGACGGUAUUUAACCAGAAAGCCACGGCUAACUACGUGCCAGCAGCCGCGGUAAUACGUAGGUGGCAAGCGUUGUCCGGAUUUAUUGGGCGUAAAGCGAGCGCAGGCGGUUUUUUAAGUCUGAUGUGAAAGCCUUCGGCUCAACCGAAGAAGUGCAUCGGAAACUGGGAAACUUGAGUGCAGAAGAGGACAGUGGAACUCCAUGUGUAGCGGUGAAAUGCGUAGAUAUAUGGAAGAACACCAGUGGCGAAGGCGGCUGUCUGGUCUGUAACUGACGCUGAGGCUCGAAAGUAUGGGUAGCAAACAGGAUUAGAUACCCUGGUAGUCCAUACCGUAAACGAUGAAUGCUAAGUGUUGGAGGGUUUCCGCCCUUCAGUGCUGCAGCUAACGCAUUAAGCAUUCCGCCUGGGGAGUACGGCCGCAAGGCUGAAACUCAAAGGAAUUGACGGGGGCCCGCACAAGCGGUGGAGCAUGUGGUUUAAUUCGAAGCUACGCGAAGAACCUUACCAGGUCUUGACAUACUAUGCAAAUCUAAGAGAUUAGACGUUCCCUUCGGGGACAUGGAUACAGGUGGUGCAUGGUUGUCGUCAGCUCGUGUCGUGAGAUGUUGGGUUAAGUCCCGCAACGAGCGCAACCCUUAUUAUCAGUUGCCAGCAUUAAGUUGGGCACUCUGGUGAGACUGCCGGUGACAAACCGGAGGAAGGUGGGGAUGACGUCAAAUCAUCAUGCCCCUUAUGACCUGGGCUACACACGUGCUACAAUGGAUGGUACAACGAGUUGCGAACUCGCGAGAGUAAGCUAAUCUCUUAAAGCCAUUCUCAGUUCGGAUUGUAGGCUGCAACUCGCCUACAUGAAGUCGGAAUCGCUAGUAAUCGCGGAUCAGCAUGCCGCGGUGAAUACGUUCCCGGGCCUUGUACACACCGCCCGUCACACCAUGAGAGUUUGUAACACCCAAAGUCGGUGGGGUAACCUUUUAGGAACCAGCCGCCUAAGGUGA
rnacentral:rRNA from 2 species